ACUCUAAGGAGACUGCCGGUGACAAACCGGAGGAAGGUGGGGAUGACGUCAAGUCCUCAUGGCCUUUAUGACCAGGGCUACACACGUACUACAAUGGCCGAUACAAAGGGCAGCGACACUGCGAGGUGAAGCCAAUCCCGUAAAAUACGGUCUCAGUCCGGAUUGGAGUCUGCAACUCGACUCCAUGAAGUUGGAAUCGCUAGUAAUCGUGGAUCAGCAUGCCACGGUGAAUACGUUCCCGGGCCUU
rnacentral:rRNA from 1 species